GACGAACGCUGGCGGCGUGCUUAACACAUGCAAGUCGAACGAUGAAGCCAGCUUGCUGGUGGAUUAGUGGCGAACGGGUGAGUAACACGUGGGUGAUCUGCCCCAAACUUUGGGAUAAGCCUGGGAAACUGGGCCUAUUACCGAAUAUGACCGAUACUCGCAUGGGUGUUGGUGGAAAGCUCCGGCGGUUUGGGAUGGGCCCGCGGCCUAUCAGCUUGUUGGUGGGGUAAUGGCCUACCAAGGCGACGACGGGUAGCCGGCCUGAGAGGGCGACCGGCCACACUGGGACUGAGACACGGCCCAGACUCCUACGGGAGGCAGCAGUGGGGAAUAUUGCACAAUGGGCGCAAGCCUGAUGCAGCGACGCCGCGUGAGGGAUGACGGCCUUCGGGUUGUAAACCUCUUUCACCAGGGACGAAGCGAAAGUGACGGUACCUGGAGAAGAAGCACCGGCCAACUACGUG
rnacentral:rRNA from 1 species